UUAUAUAAUCUUUUUCUUUUUUUUUCUUUUUUUUUUUUUACCCCCGCUUAACCCUCCCAACGAGGGUUCUAUAAAAACCAUCCGAUGAUGAAGAUCUUAACUGGAAGAUAGGAAAGUGGUCAUAGAUUUGAUGGUGGCAUCUUGGAUCAGGAAGAAGAAGAGAAAAAAGAGGCCGUGAGGGUAAAGAAAGGGAACGAUUUUAGUAUCGGGCCCCGGGAAUAGUACGGGGCGACCUGGAACCGUCGGGCACUCAGCGGCAAGGCGGGGGACUAAGGAAACCCUUGAAAUCAAUAGCCGGCCUCUACUGCCACCGCCACCCUGAUCAGGCUCCGUUCUGCGCUGCACAUCCGUCCCCUCGCAUCAUCCACCUCCCUCCUUUUACAGCUCCUCUCUCUCUCUCUCCUCCGAUUCUGAUUUAUCUGCACGACGUAGACCGAGGAAGCCAGGAGCCGCACUUCAGUUCGCGCUCGAACGUCCCACUAGUACGGGCACACGUCAUUCGUUGACUUUUUUAGCGGUGUUCCAUGUGACGGUGAAGGAGUAGAAGACUAGGGUGGAACGAUCAUGAAUCGUCAACCAAAAAUAAACCAAACUUCUCUCUCUCCUUCCCUCCCUCAUUUCUUCUUCCCCUUAUCUUUAUUAUUUAUCUUUCAUAUUCAGGUAGUCAAUGAUAAUAGAUUGGAUAAUUUAGCAAAGGAAUGAUUCGAAGGAUUUAAAAAAUUGAAAUAGAAAUUGAAAUAUCAUGAUUGCCAUCGAUGAUUUCGUUCGUAAUGGAACGAAGAAAAAGAUAAAAUAAUGGAAACUGAUAAGAAUUGAAAUAUCUUUCGUCUACUCUCCAUUAGUUAACGAUCUUAAAGAAAGUAGCUCUUGCAUUUUUCUAUAUUAUUUAUUAAUUCGUUGCGAGGCUGAGUUAAACACGAUGCAGGAAGCACGUUUAUGGUAGGUGCAUAAUGCAUGCGAAGAAAUGGUUUUGCAUAUCGACGAGAACGUAUAUUCAGGGACAUUGCAGGCGUGGAGGGUUGAUGCAACUUUUUUUUCCUCUUUUCUUUUUUUUUUUUCUUUUUUCUCUCAGGCGACGUAGGCAUUCGCAAAGGUAGAAAGUCGAAAAUAAAGAUCAAGAGGAGAUUGCGCGUCACUCGAAAUAAUUUCUCCACUGCAGUGUGUAGAUUUCUGCACCCUUUCGAUGAUGACCACCCGGUGGCACCUUCACUCCUCCAUUCACCCACUUCUCUGCCACGUACAAAGUCGUUACGUGUUUAUAUGUAUGUGUGCGUGUGUACGAGGAUGGUCUGAUUACGGUCUGACCUACUCUACUUCGGGCUAGGGCCAUACGAUUCUCUCUCUCUCUUUUCUUUUUUCUUCUCGUUUUCGAAAACUUAUCGAGCUUAUCCGACCUUUCUUUACGUAAGGCUUACAAAUUAAUUAUAAAAAUUCGGUAAUGUUCUACUGAUAAAGUUUAUUAAAAUUAAUGUUUAUAUUGAAAUCGAUGAUAAAAUGACACGAUACACAACGUCUGUCGGAUUCUUUUUAGUUUAAUACUUUUCCUAACGGACGUACAAUUCUGACGCAAAAGAUAUUAUUAAUUAAAUAUAUGAAUGAAAAAGGAUAUUUUUUUUUUUUUUUUUUAUAAAGAUAUUGACGAAACUCGAGCGAUACCAUAACGAAACGAAUCCUCGGACAAAUGAAAAGGCGCGAGUGCCGUUUCGUUUUGAUUUCAUUCGAGCUUUCUUCAGCAAAAUAUGUCAAUAUAAUCCAUUGGAUUGUUCCUUCUCCCUCUCCCUCUCUCUCCUUUUUAUAUAAGUAAAUUAUUUAAUGUAUAUUUUCAACUCGUUACAGAGAUCGUCGACGGAGAUCUCAUUAAAGAGAUCUCAAUCGUUUUAUAUUAUUACUAUUACUUAUUUAUUAUUAUAGAAUCUUAAACGGCUUUAUAUUAAUACGCGAAUGCACAGAACAGACGAACAGACGUGCAUUAUAGACACGAGUAAGUACCAUAUGUACAGAAAAACGUGGCACGGAUUAUCUUUGCCGACUUUUUUUUCCUUUCUUUCUCUCUUCUCGUUAAGUAACACCGGAAAGCCGAUAUAUAAUAAUGUAUGUGUGUGUGUGUGUGUGUGUAUGUCAAGUCUCUCUCCUCCACUUCUCCUUAAAGAUACAACUAUAUAUUAAACUACGAUCCUUCUUGUGUCAUAAGUAAUUGUUAAAGAAUUGUUAAAGAUCUGAUAAAUCGUCUGGCGUUUAUCGCAAAAUUUAUUUCUUCGGGUUGACUGUAUUGGAUCUCAACGUACUUGUAAUAAAUAAUGAAAACGAACACCGGUUGCAUUGUGACGUAUUACAUACGUAUGUAUAUACGUACAUUAGAGAAAUAUAAUUAUGAUUCAUUAUGAAUGAUAGACAAUUUAUAAAAUAUUGUGGGAGGAGAAAAAACUGAAAUCAAAAUGAAAAUUUUGUUAAAUUACAAAUAGGUAGUUCGCCAUUGUUGUUUUCUAUUACCUCUUAACAUAAAUAUAUAAAGAUUUCAAUUUUGUGUAUACCAAGUGCGAAGACAUACUUUAUUUAUUAUAAUUUCUAGCAUGCCAACGCGUUGAAAGUGUAUCUCUUUCAGUCGUAUAUGUACUUUUUUUUCCCCCUUUCUCUUCUUAUUUCUUCGUUUAUUGAAAAAAAAGAAAAAAAAAAAAAAAAACAAGGAAACCGAGCGAUUCCGUGUCCAUGUAAGCCAUGCUCCACUUUAUAGAUUCAAAAAGAAUUUAAUGACAGAGAGGUACAAAGUACAAAUGUUGUGUAGUGUGACAUCCGAGAUAUCUUUAUUUUUAAUUUUUAUAAGACAAACAUAAAGAAAUAAAAAUUACACUGAAGCGUCAUAAAUUCAAUGCAUUAACUUCUUAAAUUAUAUGCCACUGCUGGUUGAUGCAGUCAUCACUACCGUAUGGACAAUGACGAACCACUACUAUUCAGUCAGCCCCCCUUCCCUCUCUGCUGUGUAUCUUCCAAAUAAAUAUCUUUGAGCAAAUCGAA